rnacentral:tmRNA from 1 species
GGGGGCGUUCAGGCUUUCGACGGGGGUAGUAGGAAUUCAAGAAGCGAGCAGAGGACCCCGGUGCCUCUAUAAAAACCGGGAUUAAAAAUAAACGCAAACGAUAAUUUAGCUUUAGCUGCUUAAUAUAGCAGCUCGUUCUACCCGGGAAUCCCACGGCCUGGGAUAGGGCGUCGACCAGUGGGGUACCGAGCCCUGCAAAGCUUUGAGCAGGGAACGGAAUUUAUGAAGCUACUGAGGUUAGAAGCCUGUCCCUGGGCGUCUAACUGAGGGAAUGUUAAAGCAGGGACUGCGCUCGGAGAUGCUUGAGUUUCUAUACUUUCGGACAGGGGUUCGAUUCCCCUCGCCUCCACCA